rnacentral:rRNA from 1 species
GACGAACGCUGGCGGCGCGCCUAACACAUGCAAGUCGAACGGAGCUGAGAGAAGCUUGCUUUUCUUAGCUUAGUGGCGAACGGGUGAGUAACGCGUGAGUAACCUGCCCUGGAGUGGGGGACAACAGUUGGAAACGACUGCUAAUACCGCAUAAGCCCACGAUCCGGCAUCGGCUUGAGGGAAAAGGAUUUAUUCGCUUCAGGAUGGACUCGCGUCCAAUUAGCUAGUUGGUGAGGUAACGGCCCACCAAGGCGACGAUUGGUAGCCGGACUGAGAGGUUGAACGGCCACAUUGGGACUGAGACACGGCCCAGACUCCUACGGAAGGCAGCAGUGGGGGAUAUUGCACAAUGGGGGAAACCCUGAUGCAGCGACGCCGCGUGGAGGAAGAAGGUUUUCGGAUUGUAAACUCCUGUCGUUAGGGACGAUAAUGACGGUACCUAACAAGAAAGCACCGGCUAACUACG